rnacentral:rRNA from 1 species
GGAAGUAAAAGUCGUAACAAGGUUUCCGUAGGUGAACCUGCGGAAGGAUCAUUACCGUGACGUGACCCCUGGGGGGGAAACCCCCCCCCUUCGGCGAUCGUAGCACCCACCCUUCCUUGACACGUACCGACGUCCUUCCUCGGCGGGGUAACCUGCCGGCGGAACGUUCGCAAACCCUUCCUUCAUCUCAGCAGUAACCCGUUCCGAUGAGAAAUUCAAUCGUUACAAUCUUCAACAAUGGAUCUCUUGGCUCUGGCAUCGAUGAAGAACGCAGCGAAAUGCGAUAAGUAGUGUGAAUUGCAGAAUCCAGUGAAUCAUCGAAUCUUUGAACGCACAUUGCGCCCCUCGGUAUUCCGUGGGGCAUGCCUGUUCGAGCGUCAUUUCAAGGCUCAAGCUUCUCUGCUUGGUGUUGGGCGUCUGUCCGCGCUUCCGCGCAGGACUCGCCCCAAAGUCAUUGGCAGCCCAGGCCGUCCGACCCGCCCGCAGCACAUUGCGUCCGGCGAGUCGAGCGGCGGCCCGGGCGUCCAGCAAAAGGACCCUUUCUCAGUUUUGACCUCGGAUCAGGUAGGGAUACCCGCUGAACUUAAGCAUAUCAAUAAGCGGAGGA